GGCUGGGUGGCCCAUCUGUCGGAAGGGGUUUGGUGGUGUCUCUUCCUGCCUGGCUGAAGGAGGAUGGAGUAGCUGGCCUUUGGGGGUCUCUUCUGGCUCUAGGAUUCCAUGGUGAGAGGGCCCAAAAAAGACUACAGUGUUCCCUCACUACUUCGCGGUUCACUUUUUGGGAGAGAAAAGGAGCCCAAGUGGCAACGGGAGGAGGAGGGGAUUUAUCAGCGCACAAUUGGUUGAUAAAAGACUUAAAAUAGUGUAUAACUCCUAAAAUAAUGUAUAAAUAUUGAAAUAAAUAUAGCGUCCCUCCUUCGUGGAUUUUCACUUAUUGCGGGUGGUCCUGGAACGUAACCCCAGCAACAAGUGAGGAAACACUGUAUAUAGCAGACUUGGGUGAAGUAGCCCUCUGUGAUGUCACCGGGCUGGCUGUUGCUAGGUGAAGUGGCCCUGUGUGGUGUCACCGGGCUGGCUGUUGCUUGGUGGAGUGGCCUCCUGUGAUGUCGCCAAGUUGACACUUGUUAAGUGAAGUGGCCUUCUGUGAUGCCACCAGGUUGGCUGUUGCUAGGUGAAGUGGCCCUCUGUGAUGUUGCCGUGUUGGCUGUUGCUAGGUGAAGUGGCCCUCUGUGAUGUUGCCGGGGUGGCUGUUGCCAGGUGAAGUGGCCCUCUGUAAUGUUGCCGGGUUGGCUGUUGCUAGAUGGGGUGGCCCUCUGUGGUGUCACCGAGCUGACUUGCUUGGUGAAGUGGUCCUUUGUGAUGUCACCAGGUUGGCUGUUAGGUGAAGUGGCCCUCUGUGAUGUUACCAAUUUGGCUGUUGCUAGAUGGAGUGGUCCUUUGGGAUGUUGCCAGGCUGGCUGUUGCUAGGUGAGGUGGCUCUCUGUGAUUUUGCCGGGCUGGCUUCUGUUAUGUGAAGUCGUCCUUUGUGAUGUUGCCAGGUUGGCUUUUGCUAGGUGAGGUGGCCCUCUGUGAUUUUGCCUGGCUGGCUUCUGUUAUGUGAAGUGGUCCUUUGUGAUGUUGCCGAGGUGGCUGUUGUUAUGUGUAGUGGUCCUUUGUGAUGUUACCAGGUUGGCUGUUGCUAGGUGAAGUGGUCCUUUGUGAUGUUACCAGGUUGGCUGUUGCUAGGUGAAGUGGUCCUUUGUGAUGUUACCAGGUUGGCUGUUGCUAGGUGAAGUGGUUCUUUGUGAUGUUACCAGGUUGGCUGUUGCUAGGUGAAGUGGUCCUUUGUGAUGUUACCAGGUUGGCUGUUGCUAGGUGAAGUGGUCCUUUGUGAUG
rnacentral:lncRNA from 1 species